GGAAAUUUUUUCGGUGCAAGAUGAGCUCGCGGCCUAUCAGCUUGUUGGUGGGGUAAUGGCCUACCAAGGCGUCGACGGGUAGCCGGCCUGAGAGGGUGUACGGCCACAUUGGGACUGAGAUACGGCCCAGACUCCUACGGGAGGCAGCAGUGGGGAAUAUUGCACAAUGGGCGGAAGCCUGAUGCAGCGACGCCGCGUGGGGGAUGAAGGCCUUCGGGUUGUAAACUCCUUUCGACAGGGACGAAGCGUAAGUGACGGUACCUGUAUAAGAAGCACCGGCUA
rnacentral:rRNA from 1 species